AGGAUGAACGCUGGCGGCGUGCCUAAUGCAUGCAAGUCGCACGGUCGGGCUUCGGCCCGGUAGUGGCGAACGGCUGAGGAACACGUACGAACCUACUCCUGUGUGGGGGACAACUCGGCGAAAGCCGCGCUAAUCCCGCAUACGCUCUUCGGAGGAAAGCCAGCAAUGGCGCACAGGAUUGGGCGUGCGGCCCAUCAGGUAGUUGGUGAGGUAAUGGCCCACCAAGCCGGUGACGGGUCGCUGGUCUGAGAGGACGACCAGCCAGACUGGGACUGUGACACGGCCCAGACUCCUACGGGAGGCAGCAGCAAGGAAUUUUCGGCAAUGGGCGCAAGCCUGACCGAGCAACGCCGCGUGGAGGAUGACGGCUUUCGGGUUGUAAACUCCUUUUGCCAGGGAAGAUACGGACGGUACCUGGCGAAUAAGCCCCGGCUAACUCUGUGCCAGCCAGCCGC
rnacentral:rRNA from 1 species